CUUGUUCUUUAAUCACCUGCAGACUGUAGAAGGGCAAAAGCACAAGCUGGAAGAAAGCGAGCGAUUGCUUAAUCAAAGGAGGGAUUUGAUUUCCAAUUAUAAAAACUCUGUGGAAGAGUUAAUUCAGUCAGAGCCUUGAUACGUGCUCAAACUCCAAAUCCGGAAAUUAGGUGAAACAAAAUGCUAUGUUUGUCUUCAGACCAAGCUCAUUUAUACAGUGUGAGUCUGUGAGAAGAAUAUAAAGUGGUUACAUUGUUUUAUUUUCUCCAAGAAAGCUUGGUUGUGAGUUGUGACUAGUUUCACUGAUUAUUAAGUUUUGGUGCAUGGGAUUCCAGAAAAUGUGA